rnacentral:rRNA from 1 species
GAUAAACGCUGACAGAAUGCUUAACACAUGCAAGUCGAUGAUGGGAGCUAGCUUGCUAGAAGAAGUCAUGGCGGACGGGUGAGUAACGUGUAAAGAACUUACCAUAUAGACUGGGAUAACAGAGGGAAACUUCUGAUAAUACUGGAUAAGUUAGUAGUAGCAUUACUAAGUAAUGAAAGGUAGCAAUACGCUAUAUGAGAGCUUUGCAUCCUAUUAGCUAGUUGGUGGGGUAAAAGCCUACCAAGGCGAUGAUAGGUAGCCGGCCUGAGAGGGUGGACAGCCACAAGGGGACUGAGAUACGGCCCUUACUCCUACGGGAGGCAGCAGUGGGGAAUAUUGGACAAUGGAGGCAACUCUGAUCCAGCAAUUCUGUGUGUGUGAAGAAGGUUUUAGGACUGUAAAACACUUUUAGUAGGGAAGAAAGAAAUGACGGUACCUACAGAAGAAGCGACGGCUAAAUACGUGC